AGGCGGUGGCUCACGAGACUUCCUGCAAGAUGAGAGCGGGUGUUCAACGAGCUUCAAAUCCGGAAUACAGGUAUGGGAAUUGGAGAAUCUUCUCCUGGUUGGAGUAUCGUCUGGAUGCUUUAUCGAAUAGUAUUCUUCCUCGCUGUACGUAUGGAUGGCGCUUGCUCUGCAGAUGGGCAAAUAUUCAGAGAAUCCCUCUUGCCUUCCGUGACAUGAUAUCUGUUGGAUGCGCUUUCCUCAACUGUUUUGCCUUGGAAGUAUUAUCCAGGUAUAUAUAUAUAUAUAUAUAUAAAUUCUUCUCAUUUGCUGUAGAAUGUAAUCACUACUUGCAUAUUCACACUCCUGACAUACUUUUCCUGCUCAUAGUGGAUAUAGUUUUCCGAAGGUCGAAAGACUUUGCCUUACAUAAAACGGGGUUUAUCUUUAUGGGGACAUCUAUGUCGCAGUUACCAGAUGUUCGAUCAAGCACAUCUCCGUUCUGCAACGAUAUUUCGUCUCGAGCUGUGAUAUCAGGAAGCACAAGGCAGCAUGGGAGCUCUGAAAGCAUGGGCGAAAGGAGCUCGGGCAAUUCAGGGCUUACUACUGAGCUGUAUACCAGCAGCGUGACGGAGCAAUGCCCUGAAAACCGAAGACAGAUAGGUGUCAUUAGUGCUUCCUUUUUGAUCUUUAAUAGGAUUAUGGGAACAGGUAUAUUUGCAACUCCCAGUGCCAUUCUGGCACUCACAGGUAGUGUCGGACUAUCUUUAAUAGUAUGGGUCAUGGGAAUGGUUAUUGCUAUGACUGGCACGGCAGUCUACCUUGAAUUCGGAACUACAAUCCCA
rnacentral:sRNA from 2 species